UAGAAUAAAAACAGUGUUGUUCAUGUCAACAUCCUAAAAGUUAAAAUGGAGAAAUAAAAAAAUUACUUGGGCUUAUUUUGAUUAAUUGUUGGCAUUUUUCUUAAUAAGUUUUUAUUAUCUGUGAAAUUUUGCAGGAGAAUGUUGUUUCCACUUCUCCUUUUGGACAUCAAGUGUAUACUGUAGUACUUGCGGAAUAUCUAUGAAGUUUCAAAAAGACAUCACAGGAUCUCAUCAAAGGUAUUUAUCAAGACUGCAUGGAACUUUAAUAAAACCCAGAUACUACCACAAACAGUAAAAUAAAUCAUUGGAAAAGACUUUGGAAUGAAGAGGUAAAAUCUGAACUAUAAACCAGGCUUGGUGGCACAUGCCUAUAAUCCCAGCACUCAGGAGGUUGAGGCACUGUGAGUUCGAGGCUAACCUGGGCUAACUGGAGAAUUCAAGGCCAACCUGAACUGAAUAGUAAAAUCUCAUCUCAAAAAAAUAAAAAAAUAAAAAAAA